AUUGAACGCUGGCGGCAUGCUUUACACAUGCAAGUCGAACGGUAACAGGCCGCAAGGUGCUGACGAGUGGCGAACGGGUGAGUAAUGCAUCGGAACGUGCCCAGUCGUGGGGGAUAACGCAGCGAAAGCUGUGCUAAUACCGCAUACGAUCUAUGGAUGAAAGCGGGGGACCGUAAGGCCUCGCGCGAUUGGAGCGGCCGAUGUCAGGUUAGGUAGUUGGUGGGGUAAAGGCCUACCAAGCCGACGAUCUGUAGCUGGUCUGAGAGGACGACCAUCCACACUGGGACUGGGACACGGCCCAGACUCCUACGGGAGGCAGCAGUGGGGAAUUUUGGACAAUGGGCGCAAGCCUGAUCCAGCAAUGCCGCGUGCAGGAAGAAGGCCUUCGGGUUGUAAACUGCUUUUGUACGGAAUGAAACGGUCUGGGUUAAUACCCUGGGCUAAUGACGGUACCGUAAGAAUAAGCACCGGCUAACUACGUGCCAGCCGCCGCCGUAAAAC
rnacentral:rRNA from 1 species